rnacentral:lncRNA from 1 species
GGUCUGAAGGUAAACCAUGUUCCCCACCUGCCACCCUAGGCUCAGGGACUGAGUCUUCUUCCUCCUUGUCUCCUGCGUCCAUUGCAGAUGAUGUUUUCUUCAGUAGCUUGACUGAGGAGCAGAGUCCCAGCUCAACAGAGAGUGACUAUGAGAACCCUGGACAAGACGUGGACAGCAGCGCCGAGGACCUCCUCAAUCUCAACUCGUCUCUAAGAGGCUCCGAGUUCUUCAGAGACCUUCAGCCUGAACCCAUAACCAGCCAAACACCUCCCACGGCCGUUUCCAUCGUCAUCACCCCCGUUGGCGAGCACAGUCUCAGCCCAACCCUGCACGUGUACCAGAUAGUAGACAAAGGCUCUUACCAAGGCCCUGUGGCAUCUAACUACAGCCAGCUUCCCUGGCAGUUUAGCAGCAGCAUGGAGAACCAGCAAAGUGACUCAGAGCAGCCCACUGUCACCGUCAACACCACGGUGCAGCUGGGUGACCCCGGUGACCCCGAGGCCCAAGAGGCCCUUGAAGCCCCAGAGGGCCCGGAGGCCCCCGAGCUCCACGACUCAGACCCAGACAACAUCCCCAUGCUGGUGAGGUCCAUGUCCACAUCACGGAGGCACAGCUGCGGGUUGCCAGUCUCCCCAAUAGACUUGGGCAGAAGACUUAGUCUGGACGCCUCCGGAAUAGACAGUGAUGAGGAUAGAGAAGGAUCAAUUCUGUCUCGGUCAACACGCCACCAGGUUUUUGCUUACCCAGACUGCUCUGAGGACCAAGUGGGAAAUGACUCUGCAUUUCAACAAGAUGAGCCUGACAGAGCUGGGAGGACCCCAUGUGCAAAGUCUGAUAUGCUGGCAUCAGAUGAGAGGUCCAAGGCAGCACGUGUGUCCCGAAUCCUGGAAACUUCCAGCCAGGCUGCCAAGGAUUCAGGAGGUCAGCUCUCACAGUCAUGCUCCCUCAAACUGCAGCCCAGUGAACAUAGAACAAAUUCUAGGAUGAUCAUGACUCCAUAGCAUAUAGAGAACUAACAAGUUUCUCACCAGAAGUACAUGAACCACAAAUUAGGUCCUACUGGCAAUAUGGGUUCAAGAUGGAGAUUUCUGUCUUAACUGUUAUUGUUCAGAUUGUGUUAUUCUGUCACUGAGAAAUGUUUUUUUUAUCCGGAAUACAGAC